rnacentral:rRNA from 1 species
AGCGAACGCUGGCGGCAGGCUUAACACAUGCAAGUCGAGCGGGCAUAGCAAUAUGUCAGCGGCAGACGGGUGAGUAACGCGUGGGAACGUACCUUUUGGUUCGGAACAACACAGGGAAACUUGUGCUAAUACCGGAUAAGCCCUUACGGGGAAAGAUUUAUCGCCGAAAGAUCGGCCCGCGUCUGAUUAGCUAGUUGGUGAGGUAAUGGCUCACCAAGGCGACGAUCAGUAGCUGGUCUGAGAGGAUGAUCAGCCACAUUGGGACUGAGACACGGCCCAAACUCCUACGGGAGGCAGCAGUGGGGAAUAUUGGACAAUGGGCGCAAGCCUGAUCCAGCCAUGCCGCGUGAGUGAUGAAGGCCCUAGAGUUGUAAAGCUCUUUUGUGCGGGAAGAUAAUGACGGUACCGUAAGAAUAAGCACCGGCUAACUACGUGCCAGCCGCCGCGGUAA